ACGGGAGGCAGCAGUGGGGGAUAUUGCACAAUGGGGGAAACCCUGAUGCAGCGACGCCGCGUGAGUGAAGAAGUAUUUCGGUAUGUAAAGCUCUAUCAGCAGGGAAGAAAGGCCCGAAAGGGAGAUGACGGUACCUGACUAAGAAGCCCCGGCUAACUACGUGCCAGCAGCCGCGGUAAUACGUAGGGGGCAAGCGUUAUCCGGAUUUACUGGGUGUAAAGGGAGCGUAGACGGAUAGGCAAGUCUGAUGUGAAAUGCGGGGGCUCAACCCCUGAACUGCUUUGGAAACUGUCAAGCUAGAGUGCAGGAGAGGAAAGCGGAAUUCCUAGUGUAGCGGUGAAAUGCGUAGAUAUUAGGAGGAACACCAGUGGCGAAGGCGGCUUUCUGGACUGUAACUGACACUGAGGCACGAAAGCGUGGGGAGCAAACAGGAUUAGAUACCCUGGUA
rnacentral:rRNA from 1 species